rnacentral:rRNA from 1 species
CAAUAGCGUAUAUUUAAGUUGUUGCAGUUAAAAAGCUCGUAGUUGGAUUUCUGCUGAUCGCUGUCGGUCUGCCGUCAGGUGUGUACUGGCAGUGUUUGGCAUCUAUUCGAGAUUGGGUGUCCACUUGAUUGUGUGCACUCGAUGUCGGAGCUAAUACUUUGAGAAAAUUAGAGUGUUCCACGCAGGCGCGCGCCUUGAAUACUGCAGCAUGGGAUAUUGGAAGGCCGAUUGAGCUUUCUUGUUGGUUCUCGGUUUGAUCGGAAUGAUUAAUAGGGAUAGUUGGGGGCAUUCGUAUUCAACUGUCAGAGGUGAAAUUCUUGGAUUUGUUGAAGACGGACUACUGCGAAAGCAUCUGCCAUGGAUGUUCUCAUUGA